rnacentral:sRNA from 1 species
AUUGCUGUGCACCAGCGGAGACUGCUGUUUCUGCUGCUGGUGCUGUUGUGCAAUGCUGACAAUGGAGGAGGCGGUCUUUUGCAGGGACAGCAUCGAGCUGCUGCCGUUCGCCGUCUUGCUGAUGGUCACGGAUACGGCAGCCGCUGCUGCCGCUGUGGAGGCGGGGGCUACGGCUGCACCCGAUGCUGCUGCUGCUGCUGCUGCUGCGGCGGCUGCGGCAGUUAACCCAUUGACGCCAUUGAGCCCGUUACUCAG